GUCGCGUUUUUUUUUUCUUUUCUAGAUAUGGUUAAUUAAUCUAUAUUCCAUCAAAUGUAGAAACACACGAAAUGUAGAAAAUUUGCAUGUAGCAUGCGAGACAUGAAUAAAAAGACUUAGGCCACUGUCACGAGCUCAUUUAGAUAUUUGUAAGCUUUUCUGUAACAUCCAAACCGUUUGUAUAAGUUACAGAGAGGCAUAUUUUCUGGAUUUUCUGCAUCGGAAAAUACUUCAAUUGUGUAUAACUGAUUCUGGGAAAUUCUUGAAAUUCUUAUUUUGAUACGUUCAAAUAAUGAAAUGUGUGUACGGAUAUAGUUUACGACUGAAUACGUCAAAUGAUAUGCGUUUGAUUUGACACCAUCAGUGUCCAUUUCUAGAUUGGAUUAGGCUUUUAUCGGAAAUUGUAAGUGGAAGAUCAAGUGUUAAUUAUUAAUUACAUUAUUGCUAGGAAUUUUAUUUACUGUUUUUUUGUUGUUUUUUUUUGUGUGCAGCAAAUCAAUUAUUGAACACUGCCUG
rnacentral:lncRNA from 1 species